UUUUUUUUUUUUUUCUGCUGGAGUCUAACCAUAUUUGUUUAAAUCAUAGAUCAGAAGACAUUGGUGGAUUUAAAAAAAAAAAGUCUUAAAUAACUUACACUGAAGUUCUUCGUUUUUUUUAAAGGACUAUUUCGAGAGUUUUACUGAAAAUACUAAAUGCCUUCCUUUUUUUCCUGGAGAAGUCUGAUAAGAAUUGACAUUUCCUCAGAUUCUCUAUUUUGGAUUGGACAUUUUAGUAUUUCAUUUGGUAGGCACAGUUUCCAUUAAAUGAUUCCUCGCUUAACAUUUUAUUAAAACAGUCCAGCAUGAAGUUGACACUCUUCCUGCGCUCAGGUGUGGGCGCUCAGUAGAGUCACACAGGCAGGCACAUCCAGUGAUUUACUGUCCAAGACAAAUGUGUUUGUCUGCAAGAUUUAGAUAUUUACCUACAAAGGCAUUUAAAAUGUGCACUGAAUUGAUAUAACAAAGAGACUCUCAAAUUAGAUACACCUUGCCACAGGGAAUCCCUAAUGAGUUUCAGGCAUAUCUGUCAGAAAAAUAACUUUAUAAAAACUAAGGAAGAACAUUGAGCAUGUAUUCCUACCUAUCGUCUUGGGCUGCAAUUGUUUGAAUGCUUGUAGUUUCUGCACCACAGAAAAAUUAUUUUAAGGGACAUUAAAAAAAAAGUCAUUUAUACACUAGCCAAAGGCACUAUUGGCCGCUACACUACAUGUAGUAGAAGAGCUAUACGCUAGGAAGUGGGAAUUUGGAACCCACCAACAGUUUCACUGUUGUUUGAAAUAGUGAUCACGAGGUUUCUUUUCUCAUUGGCCAGAUGUCAGUUUGCUAGAUAUGCUGGCCAGCCUUUCUUGUUCUCCCAGUUUUUUGUUUGUUUGUUUGUUUGUCUGUUGGUCUGUUUUUUUUUUUUAUUCUAGCUUGAUAAUUUACAAAUGCACAGGCAGGCAGAUCUCUGGCUUUUAAAGGCUAGCCUGGUCUACAGAGUUCCAGGACAGCCAAGGUUACAUGAUGAGACCCUGUCUUGAACACAGAAAACAAAAUCUCUUUAGGCUUAAAAUCCUCUCUGUAUAAGUAGUUGUUAAUAUUCCUUGGGAUCACAGAUACAUCUGAGUGUCGAGUGGAAGUUACUGAGCUUUCUAGGAAAAAAAAUGCAUAUUCCAAUAAUUUCCCAUGGUACUAUAGAACAUCACUGGCCUUAAACCCAGUGGUAGUCACAGGGAAGGGAUCCUGAGGAUGACUGAAGAACACUGGUGUUUUCCUGUUUUGUGAAGAUUUAAGUAGGCUUUUCAAAUUUUUGUAAACUUUUCCAGACUUUCUUUCUUGGUAGUGCUGUGGACCAGAUCUUGGGCUUCACGUAUGCGCUGCAAGUACGCUACCACUGAGCUCUGGAGUCAACCAUUGCCAUAGCAAGCCGUUCUCCCCUUCUCCCGUUGGAUCCAGGGUUGCACUCGUGUUUUUUGGGUGUCUCCUAACUAGCCAUUUAUAUGAAUUCUUAAAUGUUAAAUUAAUAAUUAAUUGCACAGAUAUUUAAGGGCUACCAUAAGAUUAUUGCAUAUAUGUGUGAUGCUUGAGGAGGUGACAGGGAGAGCUUUCGAAUUAUUAAAAACCAACAUUUAAGCCUGGCUAUGGUGGUAGUUCAUGAGGAUGGUCUUCUCAGGAGGCUGAGACAGGAGGAUACUUACAACUUCCAAGUGACCCUUCCACCAAAGUCUUCCCCCUUUGCUCUCUUUUUCAUCCUCUGACAUUUCUACAAGUUGACAGUGAUAGCAGCCUGCCCUAGGAAGGAGAAAGCACUCUGCAGCAGGCGUGCUUUACAAAAGGCACCGGGGAUGCUAUCUCACAUGAAUGACUACAGUCCUUGUGCUAGGGCAGGACAGAGUAAGCUCAGGUGGGCUUGCCUCAAAACCUGUGAGGCAAGACUUGGUGACCAUAACCACUUUCUGGUUUUAUAACAAGACUUAUUCUUUUUUAUCAACUUAUUUGUAUAUGCCUCUGUGUGAGUUCAGCGAGUCUUUUUCCCCACUGCACCCUGUAGAAGGUUUGAAUCCCUUUGUCCUACAUAUGUGCUGAGAUCUAAACGAGGGUUGUUGGGAUAGAUAGCUACUUAGUACAUGCUUAACUCAUAUCUUAACCCAUGCAACUAUCUCUGUAACUCAUAAACAUUUUUAAUUUAGAAAGGAAUGAAAAGGUAGAGUCCCCUACCUCUAGUGAGACAGUUGCCCUAGGGAGGACUAUUUUAAAGACUUUUUAAGCACCAAAUGACUCUGAAACUCACGAUUUUAGUAAUGAUUACAAGCUGGAAGUUAAUAUUCAUAUCUAAAAUAUUUGCACUGAUGCUUUCUUUGUGAUAACUUUUUUUUAAGCCAGUGGCAGACACUUCUACAUUUUCCUAAAUUUUAAUCUCAUUUGGAGAGUAUUAGACUUGUAAAAGUAGAUUCACAUAUGUUUUAAUUAUGUCCUUUAGUUACUAUCAUUUUAAAUACUUCUAGAUAUAAUAUGUAGUAGACAAUACAUAUAAAAGUUCCACUUUUAAAUGAAUAUCUGGUCAUGUAGCCCAGGCUAGCCUAGAAAUAACAGUCCUCCUGAGGGCUGAGAUCGCCCACAUAUGCUACAGCCUGGUUUGUGACGCAUUUUACUGAACACUGUGAGUUUCAAAAUAGCCAAACUAGUUCUUUGACG
rnacentral:lncRNA from 1 species